AUGAACGUUGGCGGUGUGCCUAAUACAUGCAAGUCGAACGCAGAUGAUAGCAAUAUUGUCUUAGUGGCGAACGGGUGAGUAACGCGUUGGUGACCUGCCCCGAAGUGUGGAAUAACAAUUCGAAAGAAUUGCUAAUACCGCAUGUGAUCUUGGAGAUUAGAACCUCUUUGAUUAAAGGAUUUAUUCGCUUUGGGAGGGGCCUGCGUCCCAUCAGCUUGUUGGUGAGGUAAUGGCUUACCAAGGCUAUGACGGGUAGGGGACCUGAGAGGGUGACCCCCCACAAUGGAACUGAAACACGGUCCAUACACCUACGGGUGGCAGCAGUAGGGAAUAUUGGUAAUGGGCGAAAGCCUGAACCAGCAACGCCGCGUGUGCGAAGAAGGCCUUCGGGUUGUAAAGCACUUUUUAAGGGGAUGAGGAAGGACAGUACCCUUAGAAUAAGCCUCGGCUAACUACG
rnacentral:rRNA from 1 species